rnacentral:lncRNA from 1 species
CGCUGAGGAGCAAGAGGGAACAGAAACUGAAGUGGUGUUUCAUUCUACUGAGAUGAGGGCUGCUCUGGCAAGUCACAACAGUGGAAACAAGUCAAGGCAGCUUUGGACAGGAAUGGGCCAACUUCAAAAAGAUCUGCAGUUUGCGUUCCUUCCAUAUAAACAUCUCGGGGUUUAGAUGCUUAUCUGUACUUCUGCAUCUGAUCUAAGCUCCUAGGACUACAUUCUGAGUGGGCAAGGAAGGUUAUUUUGCUCAUUCUGCCAUAAGACCUGACCCUUUGAAGGAUGCAGCACUGGAGGAUCUCUGUACACGGGUGAGAGUUGAAGGAACAGAGAACGUUUCAGGUAAUGCCUUUCAUCCCUCUUACAUCAUGUAUU